rnacentral:rRNA from 1 species
CUCAAUGAAUAAUUUCAAUAGCCGCAUUCACUUGUGCUAAGGUAGCAUAAUCAUUUGUCUUUUAAUUAAAGGCUAGAACGAAAGAUUCCACAUUUAAAUUUCUAUCUUAAAUUACUCAUUUAAAACUAUCCUAAAUAUAAAAAGAUAUUUAUUUUUAAAAAAGACGAUAAGACCCUAUUGAACUUAACUUCAGUUAAACUGGGGCAGUUAAUUAAAUACAAUUUUAAUUAUUUUAAUUCCUAAGAAGACCUUAUAUAAUAGCAUACACGAACAAGUUACCAUAGGGAUAACAGCGCAAUAAUUUUUUCAAGUUCUUAUUUUUAAAAUGACUUACGACCUCGAUGUUGAAUUAAUAUCCCUUUAAAUGCAAAAGUUUAAAACGGAAGUCUGUUCGACUU